GAGAAGUCCUUCCUCAGGAAGGAACCUCUGCCUGGCCUUCAGCAGGGCCACCAUCAUGUGCGAUAUUCACUUAGAGCCUUAUCACAUUUGUGGCUGUGGAGGUAAGGAAGCUGGGACUCAGAGAAAUUAAGGGACUUGGUGAAGCAGAGAAUGUCAAGGGAAUUGAUUCAGUAGUGGACAGGGAGUCCUUGAAGAUUGUUAAGCAGUGAAGAGACCUGAUCAAAUACUAAAAAAGUACAUUCAACGGUAAGAAGAUCAACUAAGAGCUACAGGGAAUGGGAAGUAGCCAUGAGAAGCCCUGGAGCUGCUGGAUACUCUGCAAGGCCAUCCUCCUGUAACUAAGGUCACUCUAUUGCACCGUCAAAUCCAAAUAUAUCUUAGCUGGAAGGACCUGCGCAUCACCUAUCAACCCUUCACUUCAUAAACGUGUCUUCAUGGUUCACAAAGACUGGUGCCAGCAUCAUCACACGGACACUUGUGACGCUCUAGAAGGACUACAAAAGCUAAAGGAUUUAUCAGCCAGAGAGGAAGACUGAUGAGAGAUGGGGACAGACACUAGUUGUGCUGCCUGCUUUGCCAGGGCGUGAUUUAGAAGAUGAAUGUUUAUAACAUGACCUAAGGAAUUUCAUCCUUCUCUGGAAAACUGUGUAGGAGAGAAUCCUGAUGGACAAAGAAUAAUGUGUUCUGGGCUCCAGCCAAAUAUUUGGACUUGUUUGAAAAGGCCUCGGUGCUCACCUUCUGCUGUUUAUUGCAAACUCAUCACCUCAUGAUUGUCCCUAGCUGGCUCAGAAGGGAGUGGUGACAAAUGAGCAUCUCCUUUGUUUUCAUGCAGAAACCACUUUGCAGUGAUGAUGUGUUAAUUCUUUAUUAAGUGACUUCCUGACCAAACACCUUAAAAGGCCAUGUAACUCUCCCCUCCUGCAUUGCAUUUGUAGGGGAAAGGAGAGGGUAUGGAGCAUGAAAGGCAAAUCAGAUCUAUGUACUGGGGGUAUCUAGGCAGAAAAGCAGUUCCUUGUGAAUGGAAAACAGCUCAGCAGUGUCCGUCCCCUGCCAGGUUCUUGGGAGGUGGUUUGCUAUAGUGGAACACCAGAUUUGUUGCUGAUCUUGGUUAAAUCACAUAGGGAAGUGAUAUAACCUCUUUGAACCUCAGUUUCUUCUUCUGCAAAAAGAAC